CAAGGAAUAGUUUAAAAAAAAUUUUAAUUUUGGAGAUUAAAGAUAGGAGGCUUCUUUUCCUUGA
rnacentral:tRNA from 1 species